rnacentral:rRNA from 1 species
UACGUAGGGGGCUAGCGUUGUCCGGAAUCAUUGGGCGUAAAGCGAGUGUAGGCGGUUUGGUAAGUCGGAUGUGAAAGCCCCGGGCUCAACCCGGGAAGUGCACUCGAUACUGCCAAGCUAGAGUAUCGGAGAGGUUGGUGGAAUUCUCGGUGUAGAGGUGAAAUUCGUAGAUAUCGAGAGGAACACCGGUGGCGAAGGCGGCCAACUGGACGAAUACUGACGCUGAGACUCGAAAGCGUGGGGAGCAAACAGG